GGGCCGAGGGGCUUGUGGGUAGCGGCUGCGCGCGGCCGGCGACGGGCGCCGCGCGGGAGUGUGAGGGGGCAGCGGGCUGGUGGGACCGAGGCGGCCGCGGUCAUGGGCGCGGGCUGGCGGCAGCCGUAGCGGUCUGACCUGGGCUGCAGCCUCCCGGAGCCGCAGAGGGCGGGGCGCCCGGGCCCCGGGGUGGCGGCGCCGCUUCCCCGCUCGCGCUCUCGGAGCCUGAGGGAGCGAGCUCGCGGCGGACGAGCGGACCGGGCGGCGCGAAUCUGACUGAGGGGCGGGGACGCCUCCGCCUGCUCCUCGCCGCUCGGGCUGGGCCGGGCCGGCCCCUAGGACAGCCCCAGGCCCCGGACCGGCGCUGAGACCCGCAGCCGGAGCUCGAGGCGGCGGUGGGCCCGGGCGGAGCCCCGCCCGGAGCCGGCGGUUCAGGGGCGGCGCUAGGCCCUGAGGCGGCCCGGCCGGAGCGCGGGGAGCGGGAGUGCGGGCCCGGCGGCGGCAUGAGCCGGCCCCCGCCGACGGGGAAAAUGCCCGGCGCCCCCGAGGACGUGCCGGGGGACGGGGCGGGCGCGAGCCGCCAGAGGAAGCUGGAGGCGCUGAUCCGGGACCCGCGCUCGCCCAUCAACGUGGAGAGCUUGCUGGAUGGCUUAAAUUCCUUGGUCCUUGAUUUGGAUUUUCCUGCUUUGAGGAAAAACAAGAAUAUAGAUAAUUUCUUAAAUAGAUAUGAGAAAAUUGUGAAAAAAAUCAGAGGUUUGCAGAUGAAGGCAGAAGACUACGAGGUUGUAAAAGUUAUUGGAAGAGGUGCUUUUGGCGAAGUCCAGUUGGUUCGUCAUAAAGCAUCACAGAAGGUUUAUGCUAUGAAGCUUCUUAGUAAGUUUGAAAUGAUAAAAAGAUCAGAUUCUGCUUUUUUCUGGGAAGAAAGAGAUAUUAUGGCCUUUGCCAACAGUCCCUGGGUGGUUCAGCUCUUUUGUGCCUUUCAAGAUGAUAAGUAUCUGUAUAUGGUAAUGGAGUACAUGCCUGGUGGAGACCUUGUAAACCUUAUGAGUAACUAUGAUGUACCUGAAAAAUGGGCCAAAUUUUAUACUGCUGAAGUUGUUCUCGCUCUGGAUGCCAUACACUCCAUGGGUUUAAUUCACAGAGAUGUAAAACCUGACAAUAUGCUUUUGGAUAAACAUGGACAUCUAAAAUUAGCAGAUUUUGGCACAUGUAUGAAGAUGGAUGAAACAGGCAUGGUGCAUUGUGAUACAGCAGUUGGAACACCUGAUUAUAUAUCACCCGAGGUUCUGAAAUCACAAGGGGGUGAUGGUUACUAUGGGCGAGAAUGUGAUUGGUGGUCUGUGGGUGUUUUCCUUUUUGAGAUGCUGGUGGGGGAUACUCCAUUUUAUGCAGAUUCACUUGUAGGAACAUAUAGCAAAAUUAUGGAUCAUAAAAACUCACUAUGUUUCCCUGAAGAUGCAGAAAUUUCUAAACAUGCAAAGAAUCUCAUCUGCGCCUUCCUAACAGAGAGGGAGGUACGACUUGGGAGAAAUGGGGUAGAAGAAAUCAAACAACAUCCUUUCUUUAAGAAUGAUCAAUGGAAUUGGGAUAACAUAAGAGAGACGGCAGCUCCAGUAGUACCUGAACUCAGCAGUGACAUAGACAGCAGCAAUUUUGAUGACAUUGAAGAUGAUAAAGGAGAUGUAGAAACCUUCCCAAUUCCUAAAGCUUUUGUAGGAAAUCAGCUGCCUUUUAUAGGAUUUACCUACUACAGAGAAAAUUUGUUAUUAAGUGACUUUCCAUCUUGUAGAGAAAAUGAUUCAAUACAAACAAGGAAAAAUGAAGAAAGUCAAGAGAUUCAGAAAAAACUAUACACAUUAGAAGAACACCUUAGCACUGAGAUACAAGCAAAAGAGGAAAUAGAGCAGAAGUGCAGAUCUGUUAAUACUCGCCUAGAGAAAGUAGCAAAGGAGCUAGAAGAAGAGAUUACCUUAAGGAAAAAUGUGGAAUCAGCAUUAAGACAAUUAGAAAGAGAAAAGGCGCUUCUUCAGCACAAAAAUGCAGAAUAUCAGCGGAAAGCCGAUCAUGAAGCAGACAAGAAACGGAAUUUGGAAAAUGAUGUUAACAGUCUAAAAGAUCAACUCGAAGAUUUGAAAAAAAGAAAUCAGAACUCUCAAAUGUCCACCGAGAAAGUGAAUCAGCUCCAGAGACAACUGGAUGAAACCAAUGCUUUGCUGCGAACAGAAUCUGAUGCUGCAGCCCGGUUAAGAAAAAGCCAGGCAGAAAGUUCAAAACAGAUUCAGCAGUUGGAGUCUAACAAUAGAGAUCUACAAGAUAAAAAUUGCCUGUUGGAGACUGCCAAGUUAAAACUUGAAAAGGAAUUUAUCAAUCUUCAGUCGGUUCUAGAAUCUGAAAGGAGGGACCGAACCCAUGGAUCAGAGAUAAUUAAUGAUUUACAAGGUAGAAUAUCUGGCCUAGAAGAAGAUGUAAAGAAUGGCAAAAUCUUAUUAACAAAAGUUGAGAUGGAGAAGAGACAACUUCAGGAGAGAUUCACUGAUUUGGAAAAGGAAAAGAACAACAUGGAGAUAGAUAUGACCUAUCAACUAAAAGUUAUACAGCAGAGCUUAGAACAAGAAGAAGCUGAGCAUAAAACUACAAAAGCACGGCUGGCAGAUAAAAAUAAGAUUUAUGAAUCUAUUGAAGAAGCUAAAUCAGAAGCCAUGAAAGAAAUGGAAAAAAAGCUCUUGGAGGAAAGGACUUUAAAACAGAAAGUGGAGAACCUGCUGCUGGAAGCUGAGAAAAAAUGCUCCAUAUUAGACUGUGACCUGAAACAGUCACAGCAGAAAGUAAAUGAACUCCUUAAACAGAAAGAUGUGCUUAAUGAAGAUGUUAGAAACUUGACAUUAAAAAUAGAGCAGGAAACUCAAAAGCGCUGCCUCACACAAAAUGACUUGAAGAUGCAAACACAGCAAGUUAACACACUAAAAAUGUCAGAAAAGCAGUUAAAACAAGAGAAUAAUCAUCUCAUGGAAAUGAAAAUGAACUUGGAAAAACAGAAUGCUGAACUUCGAAAAGAACGUCAAGAUGCAGAUGGGCAAAUGAAAGAGCUCCAAGAUCAGCUUGAAGCAGAACAGUAUUUCUCAACUCUCUAUAAAACACAGGUGAGGGAACUUAAAGAAGAGUGUGAAGAAAAGACCAAACUUUGUAAAGAAUUACAGCAGAAGAAACAGGAAUUACAGGAUGAAAGGGACUCAUUGGCUGCUCAACUGGAGAUCACCUUGACCAAAGCAGAUUCUGAGCAGCUGGCUCGUUCAAUUGCUGAAGAACAGUAUUCUGAUUUGGAAAAAGAGAAAAUCAUGAAAGAGCUGGAGAUCAAAGAGAUGAUGGCUCGGCAUAAACAGGAACUCAGUGAAAAAGAUGCUACAAUUGCAUCUCUUGAAGAAACUAAUAGGACAUUAACUAGUGAUGUUGCCAAUCUUGCAAAUGAGAAAGAAGAAUUAAAUAACAAAUUGAAAGAUGCCCAAGAACAACUGUCAAGGUUGAAAGAUGAAGAGAUAAGUGCAGCAGCUAUUAAAGCACAAUUUGAGAAGCAGUUAUUAACAGAGAGAACACUCAAAACGCAAGCUGUGAAUAAGUUGGCUGAGAUCAUGAAUCGAAAAGAACCUAUCAAGCGUGGUAGUGACACAGAUGUGCGGAGAAAAGAGAAGGAGAAUAGAAAGCUACAUAUGGAGCUGAAAUCGGAACGUGAAAAAUUGACCCAGCAGAUGAUCAAGUAUCAGAAAGAACUGAAUGAGAUGCAGGCUCAAAUAGCUGAAGAGAGCCAGAUUCGCAUUGAACUGCAGAUGACACUGGACAGUAAAGACAGUGACAUUGAGCAGCUGCGGUCACAGCUCCAGGCCUUACAUAUGGGCAUGGACAGUUCCAGUACAGGCAGUGGACCAGGGGAUGCUGAGGCAGAUGAUGGAUUUCCAGUUCAUAUCACUCAAUCACACACUAUGGAAUCCAUGUCAUUCACCUACCAACGUUCCUCUACCUCUCUCAAUAUUGCCACUAAACCUUCCAGCUCUCAUGUGCUUCUUGACUCUGGUUCUGACUCAGAAGAAGAAUCUUUGCCUUACUUACCUAUUUCAUCGGAACCUAAUGAUACAGAAUCAAGAUUAGAGGGAUGGCUUUCAUUACCUGUGAGAAACAACACUAAGAAGUUUGGAUGGGUUAGAAAGUAUGUGAUCGUAAGCAGUAAGAAGAUUCUUUUCUAUGACAGUGAACAAGAUAAAGAACAUUCUAAUCCAUACAUGGUUUUAGAUAUAGACAAGUUGUUUCAUGUCCGACCAGUUACACAGACAGAUGUAUAUAGAGCAGAUGCUAAAGAAAUUCCAAGGAUAUUUCAGAUUCUGUAUGCCAAUGAAGGAGAAAGUAAGAAGGAACAAGAAUUUCCAGUGGAGCCAGUGGGAGAAAAGUCAAAUUAUAUUUGCCACAAAGGACAUGAAUUUAUUCCUACUCUCUAUCAUUUUCCAACCAACUGUGAGGCUUGUAUGAAGCCAUUGUGGCAUAUGUUCAAACCUCCUCCUGCUUUGGAAUGCCGUCGCUGCCAUAUUAAAUGUCAUAAAGACCACAUGGACAAAAAGGAAGAGAUUAUAGCACCUUGCAAAGUCUACUAUGAUAUUUCAACGGCAAAGAAUCUGUUGGUAUUAGCAAACUCUACAGAAGAGCAGCAAAAGUGGGUUAGUCGGUUGGUGAAAAAGAUACCUAAAAAGCCUCCAGCUCCAGACCCUUUUGCACGGUCAUCUCCUAGAACUUCAAUGAAGAUACAACAGAACCAGUCUAUUAGACGGCCAAGUCGACAGCUUGCCCCGAAUAAACCAAGAUAUUUUAAUGAAUUAUGGAAUACCAAAUCUUUGAAACUAUUUAAGCAUGCAUGUCUCAUUCAUUGAUUGAGUUCUGGCCCUGCCCUUCGAAUCAUUCUUCAUUGAUUUUUUAAUACAUUUUGCGUAGCCAACACUAACUGCUUUCUAUGAAUGCAGUCAUUAUUCAAGGUGAUCCUAUUCUUCCAGUUAAAACAAGACUGAAAUAUGAUGGCCCAAAAUUUAUUGAAAAGCUGUAUUUUCCUGAGAGACUGAUACACACACAUACAUAUUCCCUUUAUUCCUGCAAUAUAAAUUAUAAAUCUUGGAGAGAUUUUUCUAGGCUCCUUUGGCACAACAGGUUGAACCAGCGGAGAUUGGUUAAUAGAGUAAGAACAUCAUACACAACUCUUCCAAAAGCUCCAUAAAGCUCUCUUGGUGGUCACUCACACUCACACUACAUGGCACAGAGGGUUGAGAAGAGUCAAAGGAGUCAUCUGUUCAGCUUCAGCAGAGAGGUUUCACCAGCAUGUUCGCCGGAAGAAUCAGAACGGAUUUCACUACAGUGAUAUAGACUGCAUCUUUAAGAAGUGACCAUUAUACUGUGUGUGUGUGUGUGUGUGUGUGUGUGUGUGUGUGUACAUAUACAUACACAUAUAUAGUACUGUAAUACUGCAGGAGGGUUUUUUAACUUCCCACUUUAUUUUUUAUACUCAUUAAUCAAAUAUCAUUACUACAGUUGCAACUAUGCACUUGUAUAAAGCCAUAGCAUUGGGGUUAUACACUCAUCUGUGUGGACCUGAUGGAGCUGCAUGUUCAUGUUGCUGUAACAGAAACUUUGAACUUAAUUAUAUCUGUUUCCUAAUGCUUCAUGAUAGGCAACUUUAUCCAUUUUGAAUGCCUUAAUUUAAUUUUUUCCAAGUCUCAGCCCUUUUCUGUAUUAAAAACAAGUGUUUACCAACUCUUAGAAUGCAAAUUUGCUUUGCAGAAGAUAGUGCACUAUUUUUACAAAUAAUAGUUAUCAAUGUCGGCCUAUUUUGAUUGUCUAACAAUUUUUUAAAGUAUGGUGAUAGAAACAAUAAUGGAUAGUAUUAGAACUAAUAUAUCUUUUAUGUAUAUCUAUUAUCCAUCCAAGCCUUUUUACAGACCUCAGUAUUAGUGUGUGACUAUGAAAUGUUUUCUUUGCUUGGAAUUUGCUGACUACCCUAGAUAUGUUUUUAUUUCUGGUAAGGAUAUUUGUGACUAUUUUUACAUUUCACACUCAACAUUCAAAAAUUAUCUCAAAUAUAAAGAAAACUAAAAUAUACUCUAGAUAUAUUUUAAGUAUUGACAUGUGAUCCCUCAUCCACACAAUUGUGUAUGGCAAUAUUUCAGUAUUGGGUUGUGAAAACUGGUGCCUAGGAAGAAGUGGCCUCAAAGGCACUUAACUUUUUAUUUAAAUGCUGUUAAAAUUGCAGCACAUGCAGGACCAUUUCUGCUGUAUUUCUCAUCCCACAGAAGUCUGUUUUUUACUGUGACAGUAUGCAUCAGUGAGAAGCAUCAGGUAAAAAAUUGUGUAGUCUUUUAUCAGUCUCUAUAUACAUAAACACAUACAGUUUGGUGUGAUACUGAAAUACAGCAUCUGAUAUUUCAAUGAAGGAACUAAGAGAUUUUUCAUUGUUCCCUGGGGGGUCAGUGUGGAGAUGUUUAAAGUUAGGUCCCCAGUUAUAGAUACUGUUGUGGAAACUGAAGAGUGGCCUGUGGCUACCGACGUCCUGAAUCGGAAUCUCGUUACUCUUCCCGUGUCGGUCGGCACGCCCUCGGCUGUUUGUGCUGAAACUCGCGGCAUGCGGGAGGCGGUCCCUCGCAGGUGUGUUCUGUGGUCCUGGUUUGGGGGCACAGAUUUUUUUAAAGUAAGAUUUUAAAAUGAAAAAUAUAUAAAAUUUAUAUAGAAUAAAUAUUUCCACUCAUUAGACUUGUUAAAAGGAGACUGAAUUAAUAUUUUAUAUAAAGAUUUUGUUACACUAUGGGAGGUUCUAUCAUAUUAUUCUGAAUUGGAGAGUAUAUAUAUAUAUAUUUUUAAUAAACUUUAUUAAGGUAAAAUAAUUUGAAGUUUACACAUGAAUAAUUGAAAUAUUUGAGUAAAAAUGGCAAAAGUUUAAAUUUUGAAUGCUGUAUAUAUUAGAGAAUAUGGAGAAUCAUGGUGUGAUGCAGCUAUACAAGGAAGAUCAAUGUGACUGUUGGGGAUUGGGGGAAGAUAAUCUAAGGAGUGAACCAAGUCUCUCCCAUGGAGAUUAUUCACAUUAUGUGGUUUGACAUAAGAAUUUAUAAAGCUGUCCAGCUAACAGAAAUGUGCUUAAUAAAAGAUUCUGACCUUGGGUAAGAAUUUGCUUUUUACCCUGUUGCUGGUUUCAUGUACGAACAUGAAUGAUGCAUGCACCUACCCAAAUGUUCUCUUCCCAGCACUCACUCAAUGUGAUACUGACUUGGUGUAACAGCCAGAUUUUGUGCCAGCUUCUCUUUUUCUGGAGGCUCCAAAGCUUCCAAGAUAAAUAAAAGACCAAAAGUUGCUUCUUUUCUCACACCUGAUUUCUCCUAGAGCCAUAAAUACCUCCUAUUGAGAACUAAGAAGUAGUGAAUACUGGGAUUUUCUUAGAGUUUUGUACUUUCGUGGGGAUAAGUGAGACAAGUAGAAGUAAAAUUGGUAUUACUGUUGAAAAUUGGUGUAUAGUGAAUUUUUGAAAAGUAUUUAAAAAAUUGUUAUCUAGAAGCAAGAAUUUUUUUUUUUUAAUCUGAACUUUUAAAAUGCUGUAGCCAAAGGAUAAGUGUCCCAGUCAAUCUAAAAUGUAGGUGAGUGUCUGCAGCUGGCCUACGCUGAGUACAGGAGUCUGGCUCGCAGGUGCGUUCUGUCUGCCUGGGUCCUGGAGGAGCGCUCGGCGGCCAGACCCCAUUGCAGAAGUGCUGCGGCUGCUGCUAAUCUGGUCUAGGACCCUGGUGGCCACCAAGCCUCGGCACCACGUGCCCCUGUGGAGCUGCUCCAAGAAGCCUGUUUCUAUACUCCGACGGGAGGAAGUCACACCUGAGCUGCUCCGCCUGCACUGACACUGCUGCUGACUCCCGUCCUCCGGUGGGCUUCAGCUUCCGCCGGCGGGGAGAGGCCGCGGCUGUGGCUGUCCCGGGAAGCACUUUGAGGAAGGGCGCUGUGUGACAGUGCCGGGUGUUAUGCUGGGGGGACGUCAUGUCGGCUCCUUGGUUCCCUUCCCCAUGAGUUUUGUUUGAAGUUGUACUAAGUUGAACUGCAUGGUUUAGAUAAUCAAAUAUUUGAUCAGCUGUCCCCUUUGAACAAAAAUCAUAUCCCCCUGAUUUUCUUUCUUUUAAAUUUGCUGCAUCUUUGUAGUAAUGUAAUUGUAUUUUAUGCCUGCUUUUUAUAUUAAAAAAUAAAUAAUUAAGACACAA